rnacentral:rRNA from 1 species
CCUACGGGAUGCACCAGUGGGGAAUAUUGCACAAUGGGCGCAAGCCUGAUGCAGCCAUGCCGCGUGUAUGAAGAAGGCCUUCGGGUUGUAAAGUACUUUCAGCGGGGAGGAAGGCGAUAAGGUUAAUAACCUUGUCGAUUGACGUUACACGCAGAAGAAGCACCGGCUAACUCCGUGCCAGCAGCCGCGGUAAUACGGAGGGUGCAAGCGUUAAUCGGAAUUACUGGGCGUAAAGCGCACGCAGGCGGUCUGUCAAGUCGGAUGUGAAAUCCCCGGGCUCAACCUGGGAACUGCAUUCGAAACUGGCAGGCUGGAGUCUUGUAGAGGGGGGUAGAAUUCCAGGUGUAGCGGUGAAAUGCGUAGAGAUCUGGAGGAAUACCGGUGGCGAAGGCGGCCCCCUGGACAAAGACUGACGCUCAGGUGCGAAAGCGUGGGGAGCAAACAGGAUUAGAUACCCGUGUAGUC